CACGUAGGGGGCGAGCGUUGUCCGGAAUUACUGGGCGUAAAGGGAGCGUAGGCGGUUUUUUAAGUGGGAUGUGAAAUCCCCGGGCUUAACCUGGGAAUUGCAUUCCAAACUGGAAGACUAGAGUGCAGGAGAGGAAAGUGGAAUUCCAAGUGUAGCGGUGAAAUGCGUAGAGAUUUGGAGGAACACCAGUGGCGAAGGCGACUUUCUGGACUGUAACUGACGCUGAGGCUCGAGAGCGUGGGGAGCAAACAGG
rnacentral:rRNA from 1 species